GGUUAGCAUUCGUGAUUAUCGAAUUUUGUUGUGCUAAAGAGACAAAUUCUUGCAGUUCCGGUCAACCAUAAAAAUUUCCCGUGAGAUGUUAAGAUGGCUACCUACUGGGAACUAGGGCGGGAUAUCCUUUUAAGGAUGGGAAUGUAAUAUAUUCUGAACUUAACCUAACCUAUAUACGUGACCUAAUGUAAUCACACUUCUUCUUAAUACAACCACGUUAUUAUGUAGAAACGUAGAUUGGUUGUAGACAUUUGAAACGCCGGUUCUGAAACCUUUGGUCAUUCUUGGAACAUUUUUAUGGAACCUGAGUUGACUAUUACAUUUAAUCAUUUGCACGCGUCGAGUAGCAUGCUGUUAGCGGCGUAAAUCUUGGAGGUUCGCUGGCCGCCAGACAAAAUGACGGACGGAUGAAUGCAACAGCAAGGUCAGCGACCGCGUGGUGUCAGCUUCCAUCAUAAACGUCAGGUCGUACCUAUUCUUUCUUUUGUUAAAUGGAGUCAUGCUAAAACUUCUAUUUUUAUAUAUUGUUUUUUUUAAAAGGAUGCGUUACAUUAAUUGUUGGUGGUGAUUCGGAUAUACCGUUCAGAUUACAAUAAGAUUUAGAGAUAACUAGACCUCUUUCGUGAGUGUUUAAAAUGCAACGUGUUUGUUGUCCCUUUAGUAUAAACGUGUGUAAUUGCUAAGCGAACUUAAAUGGAAUCAUCCUUGUGGAUUUGGCUGGUAGCGAUGUGAAUUCAUAACUUCUAGUGCGUUGUUCGACGGACCCACUUUAAAUACCUAGCCGUGGCAGUGGUUUGGUCAACAAAAAUCCAAACGCUAUAUCGACACCAUCUAAUCCCCAAGGAUUGGUAUAAUAAAACAAAUAUUUGAGAUAACCACUGUUUAUUUACAAAGUAUGUACAAAGUAACUUAACAUUUAGGAAACCUGGUUUUUUUUAUGUAAUUUAACCCAUUAAUAUUUUGUCCUUUUAGGGUUUCUCAAGGGUUUAGCAUUACUUUUAUAUUGUAAAAAAAAGGUUCAUCUAAAAAUAUAGAAGCCAAAUACCGGUGAUUACUGUAAAA